rnacentral:lncRNA from 1 species
UCUUGCAACUAGCUCCUGAUCAACAAUAUAAUUUGCCAAGUUCUUCCGCAGAUACUAGUUUUAAUCAGAGUCCCUUGGCCCUAAAUUACGCUAAUGGAAAUGUAAGUAACAUGCCGCGGAGAAGUAAUGCUGAACAUACUGAUGUACCUAAUAAUGCAGCAGGAAUGGCAACAAAUUCUAGAAUGGAUAACCUUCAAGCUGGUUAUUAUGGUGACACUUACAAUAAUGCUACAAUGAAAGGUCGGACUAGUCUAGACAUUAAAGGACAUUCUGGGUUGGGAAUGAUUCCUCAGCAGACGUUUGGUGUUUCUGGUCAUAACAAUAUAGUAAAGAGCAGACAGUUUCCUGCUAAAUUUAAUAAGGAAAUCGAAGAGAUGUGGUUAGAGGUUCUGGACAAGAUCCAUUCAAAUAGCAUAAGGGAAUUUUUGUACCAAGAAGGCAGACUGGUCGGAGUCAGUUUUGGUGCAGGUACUAAUAGCAACUUGCAUCACCUCCUAACUUGUGCAGUAAAUGUUCCCUUUGUUCUACCUAAGUUUGUACUUAGUUUUUCAAUGAAACAUCUUUUGAAAAUUGUUUUAUAUCUUGGUAUCCUCUACUGCAGUUUGGGGUUAGAUAUGCAAGUGGAACUGAAAAAAUAUCUCACAUACUAUUCAUGCAUUUAUUUCUCCUUGCUUUACUAAAUAUGGCACUAGAUUUAGGAUUUCAUUCUCCAUUUUUACCNGCAUAUGAGCUCCGCAAUAUAAUGACAAAAAAAAGUAUGUGUAAUAAAAAAAUGUGUGUGUGUUAGCAGCUACAGAAGUCAUAGCAUAUGAGCUCCGCAUUAUAAUGACUACAAUAACAAAUAUAUAUUUAAUCAAAAUGAAAGCGAUGACCUUUUUAUUUAGCUAUGUCUGUGUUAGGCUGCAAAUUGUCACAAUAGUUAUCCAUCCUUCAGGCUAUUUCCGCUUAAAUGUAAGCUUCUGAAUGUCUAUAUCCCUUGAAAUUUACGGCCUACAUAUUUUUAUUUUUUGUUGUCAGAUACAGCCUACACAUUUCGAUUAGCCAAGUGUAGAAGCUAAUUAUCGAAUACUAAUAAAUCUCUCUUCUAGGUUAGACAUAAAACGACUACUAGCUUUGCUGCCCUUUACUUUACCUCAUACCUUUGAUAUUUACACAUUUUUGGUUAUUUUAUACCAGUUUUUCAUAUGUUUAUGCAUUAAUUUUAGUGUCAAAGGAAGACAUGGAAAAACUACGUCAAGCUCUGAAAACAUUAUCUGAAGCUGAAAAGCAGCUGAGAAUGUCAAAUGACAGGUUGACAUGGCUAACAGCUGCCCUCUUGCAACUAGCUCCUGAUCAACAAUAUAAUUUGCCAAGUUCUUCCGCAGAUACUAGUUUUAAUCAGAGUCCCUUGGCCCUAAAUUACGCUAAUGGAAAUGUAAGUAACAUGCCGCGGAGAAGUAAUGCUGAACAUACUGAUGUACCUAAUAAUGCAGCAGGAAUGGCAACAAAUUCUAGAAUGGAUAACCUUCAAGCUGGUUAUUAUGGUGACACUUACAAUAAUGCUACAAUGAAAGGUCGGACUAGUCUAGACAUUAAAGGACAUUCUGGGUUGGGAAUGAUUCCUCAGCAGACGUUUGGUGUUUCUGGUCAUAACAAUAUAGUAAAGAGCAGACAGUUUCCUGCUAAAUUUAAUAAGGAAAUCGAAGAGAUGUGGUUAGAGGUUCUGGACAAGAUCCAUUCAAAUAGCAUAAGGGAAUUUUUGUACCAAGAAGGCAGACUGGUCGGAGUCAGUUUUGGUGCAGGUACUAAUAGCAACUUGCAUCACCUCCUAACUUGUGCAGUAAAUGUUCCCUUUGUU